rnacentral:rRNA from 1 species
GCGUGCUUAACACAUGCAAGUCGAACGAAGCACUUUAUUUGUUUUCCUUCGGGACUGAUUAUUUUGUGACUGAGUGGCGGACGGGUGAGUAACGCGUGGGUAACCUGCCUUGUACAGGGGGAUAACAGUUGGAAACGGCUGCUAAUACCGCAUAAGCGCACAGCAUCGCAUGAUGCAGUGUGAAAAACUCCGGUGGUAUAAGAUGGACCCGCGUUGGAUUAGCUAGUUGGUGAGGUAACGGCCCACCAAGGCGACGAUCCAUAGCCGACCUGAGAGGGUGACCGGCCACAUUGGGACUGAGACACGGCCCAAACUCCUACGGGAGGCAGCAGUGGGGAAUAUUGCACAAUGGGCGAAAGCCUGAUGCAGCGACGCCGCGUGAGCGAAGAAGUAUUUCGGUAUGUAAAGCUCUAUCAGCAGGGAAGAUAAUGACGGUACCUGACUAAGAAGCACCGGCUAAAUACGUGCCAGCAGCCGCGGUAAUACGUAUGGAGCAAGCGUUAUCCGGAUUUACUGGGUGUAAAGGGUGCGUAGGUGACAGUGCAAGUCAGAUGUGAAAGGCCGGGGCUCAACCCCGGAGCUGCAUUUGAAACUGCAUAGCUAGAGUACAGGAGAGGCAGGCGGAAUUCCUAGUGUAGCGGUGAAAUGCGUAGAUAUUAGGAGGAACACCAGUGGCGAAGGCGGCCUGCUGGACUGUUACUGACACUGAGGCACGAAAGCGUGGGGAGCAAACAGGAUUAGAUACCCUGGUAGUCCACGCCGUAAACGAUGAAUACUUGGGUGUGGUGACCGUAUAGGCUUCGGUGCCGCCGCUAACGCAGUAAGAUUUCCAAAUGGGGGAAUUACGUUAGCAAAAAAAAAACAAAGGAUGAAGGGUCUCGCACAAAGGUGUAGCAUUUUUUAUUAGAACAACUAAAAACCUUACCAGGUUAGAACAUCCUUCUGACCGCACAAAUAAUCGGAGGUUUCAUCCGAGACAGAUGAGUCACGGGGUGCAAUGUUGUUGUCUGCUCGUGUCAUGAGAUGUGGGUUUAGUCCCGCAUCGAGCGCAACCCUUAUCUUCAGUAGCCAGCAGUAAGGGUCUGGGCAAUGUGGAGAGACUGCCAGGAUUAUCCUGGAGGAGUGUAGAGACGUCGUCAAAUCAUCAUGCCCCUUAUGAUCUGGGCGACACACGGGCUACAUGGGCGGUCACAGAGGGAGGCGAACUCGAGAGGGGGAGCAAACCACAAAGAGGCCGUCCCAGUUCGGACUGUAGUCUGCAACCCGAUUACACGAAGCUGGAAUCGCUAGUAA